rnacentral:rRNA from 1 species
CAGUCGCCGCGGUAAUACGUAGGGGGCAAGCGUUAUCCGGAAUAACUGGGCGUAAAGCGAGCGCAGGCGGUUAGAUAAGUCUGAAGUUAAAGGCUGUGGCUUAACCAUAGUACGCUUUGGAAACUGUUUAACUUGAGUGCAAGAGGGGAGAGUGGAAUUCCAUGUGUAGCGGUGAAAUGCGUAGAUAUAUGGAGGAACACCGGUGGCGAAAGCGGCUCUCUGGCUUGUAACUGACGCUGAGGCUCGAAAGCGUGGGGAGCAAACAGGAUUAGAUACCCCCGUAGUCCCUGUCUCUUAUACA